UUAAGUUCAGCGGGUAGUCCUACCUGAUUUGAGAUCAAACGUUCAAAGAGCUGUCCUCACCAAGGAGAGACAUUUAUGAGCUCCAGCGAACCUCCAUUGCUGAAGGUUUACCUGGUGGAAAACCACAAGCGUAGAUAGUUAUCACACCCGUGACGCCACCAAACACUGGCAAGCUGAUUUAUUUGAGAGGAGCCGACCGC
rnacentral:misc_RNA from 1 species